CCUACGGGGGGCAGCAGUGAGGAAUAUUGGUCAAUGGACGAGAGUCUGAACCAGCCAAGUAGCGUGAAGGAUGACUGCCCUAUGGGUUGUAAACUUCUUUUAUAUGGGAAUAAAAUGUUCCACGUGUGGGAUUUUGUAUGUACCAUAUGAAUAAGGAUCGGCUAACUCCGUGCCAGCAGCCGCGGUAAUACGGAGGAUCCGAGCGUUAUCCGGAUUUAUUGGGUUUAAAGGGAGCGUAGGUGGAUUGUUAAGUCAGUUGUGAAAGUUUGCGGCUCAACCGUAAAAUUGCAGUUGAAACUGGCAGUCUUGAGUACAGUAGAGGUGGGCGGAAUUCGUGGUGUAGCGGUGAAAUGCUUAGAUAUCACGAAGAACUCCGAUUGCGAAGGCAGUUCACUGGACUGCAACUGACUCUGAGGCUCGAAAGUGUGGGUAUCAAACAGGAUUAGAUACCCUAGUAGUC
rnacentral:rRNA from 1 species